rnacentral:rRNA from 1 species
ACGUAGGGCCCGAGCAUUAUCCGGAAUUACUGGGCGUAAAGCGCACGCAGGCGGUCGGAUGAGUCGGAUGUGAAAGCCCUGGGCUUAACCUGGGAACUGCAUUCGAUACUGUCUGGCUAGAGUAUGGGAGAGGGAAGCGGAAUUUCCGGUGUAGCGGUGAAAUGCGUAGAUAUCGGAAGGAACAUCAAUGGCGAAGACAGCUUCCUGGCCCAAUACUGACGCUCAGGUGCGAAAGCGUGGGGAUCAAACAG